rnacentral:rRNA from 1 species
GGUGGAGCGAUUUGUCUGGUUAAUUCCGAUAACGAACGAGACUCUAGCCUGCUAACUAGGCGAUUUCCGGUACCCACAACAGUGUUACCGGCGAUUCAAUUUCUUCUUAGAGGGACAGGCGGCUCCUAGCCGCACGAGACUGAGCAAUAACAGGUCUGUGAUGCCCUUAGAUGUCCUGGGCCGCACGCGCGCUACACUGAAGGAAUCAGCGUGUCUUCCCUGGCCGACAGGCCCGGGUAACCCGUUGAACCUCCUUCGUGCUAGGGAUUGGGGCUUGCAAUUGUUCCCCAUGAACGAGGAAUUCCCAGUAAGCGCGAGUCAUUAAGCUCGCGUUGAUUACGUCCCUGCCCUUUGUACACACCGCCCGUCGCUACUACCGAUUGAAUGAUUUAGUGAGGUCUUCGGACUGGUACGCGGCGAUUGGCGCAAGUC